CUCUGCUGUAGCUGAAUUUGUGGGCGUUUGUGGGAGGGAAGGCCCCCUGAAAGGAGAGAAGAAAGAGUCGAGGAUUAGUCUCCUAGUAGAAGCUUACAGUUUCUGACUAGCUCCUGACACAAAGGAGUAGGAAGUUGGGUAUUUUCUGCAUUUCAGGUUCGUACCAUCAGGGAAGCAGUUUUCAGGUGAAGAGGCUCUGCUGGGGGCUUUAAGGGCAUUUUCUCCUGAUGCUGCUGUGAUUUCUUCACAAAUACCUUGUGGGAAAGAAAUUGGGAGGUCGCAGUGAAAGAAGAAAUGGCCAGUUCUCAGGGACUGCUGACAUUUGGGGACGUGGCCAUAGAGUUCUCCCAGGAGGAAUGGCGAUGCCUGAGCCACACACAGCAGGAACUGUACAGAGACGUGAUGCUGGAGAACUACGGACACCUCCUGUUCUUGGAUUUCAUUCUGUUGAAGCCAGACCUGAUCAUGGUUUUGGAGCAGGAGAAGCAGCUCUGGGAUGUGAAGAGAAAGGAGACCGUAGCCUUCCAUCCAGUCGAGUCACGUGUAGAUCACAAGUGAACAGCACCGUGGAACUGAUGAGCUCUCUAUAAGCCAGUGGGAUCAAGAAAGAAAAUACUGUCCUCUACAAUUCCCCUUGAGCUCCUCAGUAACUUGUCCCUAAGGUCAGCCCUCUUUUAACAUGUAAGGGGCUUGGCCAUAGCAAUGAUCUUCGUGUUGCAGGCGGUACCUGGAAUCGUGGUAACCCGGUAGGUGUUUCACCAUUGUCUCUCUCUGCUUCACUGCAGGUAAGUGAAGCUCUACAGAUUUUAGUGCCAAACACAGGAGUAUAGGCUCAUUGGACAUGGUCUCUAAAUGAGUCCCACCCACACUGACAGCUUUAGGGUGAAGAGUGUUCUGCCAUGAUUUUGGACGCACACUUCUUUGGUAUGUUUACAGAGUGGCCAGGGAUGUGUCUGUUGAGGCACAGUGUGUAUCUUGGGUGUCUUCCAGACCAUUAACAUUGGCACUAUGGACGAGGGUUGGAAGGAUCUUAGAGCAAAAGCUUGCAUGUACAUUGAGUUUUUCCUUUUCCUUUGCAUGUCACUGUGAAAUGAGCAGCAAAAUGUGUUGGUAUUGUUGUGGAUAUCAGAACCAAGUCAUACCUUUGCUGUACAUAGUAUUGUUAUUAUUCCUUGAAAUCAUGUUUUGGCCUCAUGAUCUAGACCAAUGUUGCCUUGAUUUUCAUCCAGUCCAGGCACAAGGAGUGGGUCAAGUGCAUUCACAGGGUCAACAUUUCCUCCAUAGCUUUACCGGAGUUCAGGGUGACUCAAAGAAUUUUUGUCCUUGUGACCACCUCUGUUCUUAAUACGAUCUCCUCCAUCUUUUAUGUAGAUGUUGCUCUUUUUAAUAUUCCCCAUUGAUAGGUGGUGACUACCUCUGCCCUAUUUCCUAUGUGUUUCCCAAUUCUCAGCUCUGUUCGUGUAAUGAGCCAUGAUUCCACUGUAUCCAGGACCUACUUAGCCCUCAUCUUUUCAGAUACUUGAAAUGGCAAGGCCUCUGGUAUCCUGUGAGUCUUCGUUAACAUACAGAAAUCCUUUUGAAACCUCCCUUUCCCUUACCUCCCCCAACUCCCACGAAUAAAAUCAGCCACACCUCACAAAGCUGGGGCAGCAGCUCUUUCUGCCCAUGGGUCCUGUCAGUUUUGCUACCAGUGAUUGCUACCAGUGACACCUCAAGAAUUCCUUCUUGGUCAUUGGUUCCGGACCUCACCUAUAUUCCAAAAUCCCACCAUUUCGUGCCUGAACUUGGGCCUUUGAGUCUUUAUAUCUGGACUCUGAGCUUUGAUGCAAAAUUGGUGAGUACCUUCUCCCUUCUUCCUUUACUCUCAUUUCAGUGGCUCUUCAAGGAGUACGGUCUUAUUGGAACACUUUCAUGUUGCUAGGUUAGGCCGCAAGCCUCUAGCCCAUGGCUACUCUAUGGGGAGGAAAAACCCUGCCUUUUGGCUGGAAGUGAGUACCCAGGCUGGGAUGGUAAUAAGACCCAGAAACUUGAUGCCCUCUCUUUAUUCCUGUCCUUAUACAAAGUCAUCUCUCUUGGGCAUGGGACAGCCACCUAAGUGACUAGCACGGCUGCCCAUCUUAAGACUCCCGUGUGAGGUUUCCUCCUGACUGAUCUAAUGCGAUCCCCUCCACAUCCCUGGUCUAGCCGCUUCUGGCCGUGGGACCUCCACUGGGAGCCAGCCGAAACCAGUCCCCAAUGGAAUUAUAACCCAACUGGGGACCGUUUCCUAGGGAAGUUGGCUGUAAAGACUACAUAUGUUGGAAUGUCGCUUAGAACCACAAUGGAUUUCUGUCUUUACUGUUUUCUGUGAAUGUCCUUCACUAACUAAAGCUAGAAAAUUGGGUAAUUUCCCCUUGUAAAACUUUCUGGUGUUUUCCAUGGGUUUAAAAUGGCGGAUUAUUUUGGUCCAAACACCGGCACCCAUAAUAGUCUAGAAUGCAAUGGGAAGUGCAGGGAGGGCAGUUCUCCCUCCUACAGGGGACCUUUAAGGGCAGUGAUCAUAGUGGUUUUGUUCAGGAGAUGCCUUGGGUUGCUUUGACACCAGGAAUCUUUGAUACCUCCUGGGUGUGGAACACCACCCGGGAGUCGGCGGGGGGGGGUUCUUUGGUAAGGGACCACCUCUAGCAUGGCCUCCGUAGGCUUAUUCAGUCCCCAAGGAUUCUCCUUUGGGAUGCCUUUUAACCCAUUGGAAAAAAUUCAGAUUACAAAGUUUAGGAAAGGACUGAUCUCCUGUAACACUGCAUGGCUGCAGUGGGAGCUAUCAGGUCUCUUCUGUGGGAAACAGGGCAAGGACAUAGGGUGCCUUCAUUGCUCUACGCCUCUCUCAGAAUGUGUCGGCUAGUAAACUCCUGACAUAGUGGAUGGUGAUGAUCUAAAUAGGCCUCCUCUGAGUAAACCUAGUUUGCUAGAGGAAAAGCAGGCCGUCCCAGAUGAAGGGGAUCCCUCCCUCUCUCUCUCACUGUGCCUCCUAAUAGAUGUGGGGGGCUUCUCCCUCACUCAUUUCCCAGGUUAAUGGCUAUAACUGGAGCUAACUUUGGUUAGGCUACCUCGGGACAGGGACUUAAGGAAUAUUCCCAAGCAGCUGCUGAAACUCCCUGUCUUCUCUGGCCUGACAUGGACUGCCCAACCCCCUCCCCUUAGGUGGGAAACAUGGCGUCUGGUCCUCUGUUGGAGCUGAUGAGUUCUAACACCGGGAACCCUCUCUCUGCCUCGGGCAGCUCUUGGCCUCUUCUGUCUUCCCCUGCCCCUUCUGUUUCUCACACCUGGGGUGCGGCCUGCAUAACUGGCUUCUGUACCCUCCUCUGUGCCUCCUGCACCAUUGGCUCCUUCUGCCCUCCCUGGCAAGGAGCAAAAAGAGCACGCCCUGAACCUAACACCUUCCACUCCGGAUUUCCCCACCUAUCUCAGGUAAAAAUGGAAAAUGGGGUGGGCCCAGGUGGAACAUUAUUCGGUAUUUAAGGUACGUUUGUCAGUUUAGACCUGUCUUUUAUCAGCAGUAAACAUGAAACUUAUUCUAUUGAGGUUUACUGAAGGUCAAAUAAGCUGUUAUCUGAAGGUCAAAUAAGCUGUUGCAAUUUGUUAGCAAAAAAUGAAAUGGUUUGGGGCGCCUGGGUGGCACAGCGGUUAAGCGUCUGCCUCCGGCUCAGAGUGUGGUCCCGGCCUUCUGGGAUCGAGCCCCACAUCAGGCUCUU